rnacentral:rRNA from 1 species
GUGGGGAAUAUUGCGCAAUGGGGGAAACCCUGACGCAGCAACGCCGCGUGAGUGAAGAAGGCUCUCGGGUCGUAAAGCUCUGUCAGAAGGGACGAAACUAUAGGGUGCUAAUAUCACCCUGUAUUGACGGUACCUUCAAAGGAAGCACCGGCUAACUCCGUGCCAGCAGCCGCGGUAAUACGGAGGGUGCAAGCGUUGUUCGGAAUUACUGGGCGUAAAGCGCGCGUAGGCGGCCUCCUAUGUCAGGUGUGAAAGCCCUCGGCCCAACCGAGGAAGUGCGCCUGAAACUGGGAGGCUUGAGUACGAGAGAGGAGGACGGAAUUCCCAGUGUAGAGGUGAAAUUCGUAGAUAUUGGGAAGAACACCGGUGGCGAAAGCGGUUCUCUGGAUCGAUACUGACGCUAAGGCGCGAAAGCGUGGGGAGCAAACAGGAUUAGAUACCCCUGUAGUCC